rnacentral:rRNA from 1 species
CGUGGGGCGUCUAUACAUGCAGUCGAGCGGACAGAUGGGAGCUUGCUCCCUGAUGUUAGCGGCGGACGGGUGAGUAACACGUGGGUAACCUGCCUGUAAGACUGGGAUAACUCCGGGAAACCGGGGCUAAUACCGGAUGGUUGUCUGAACCGCAUGGUUCAGACAUAAAAGGUGGCUUCGGCUACCACUUACAGAUGGACCCGCGGCGCAUUAGCUAGUUGGUGAGGUAACGGCUCACCAAGGCGACGAUGCGUAGCCGACCUGAGAGGGUGAUCGGCCACACUGGGACUGAGACACGGCCCAGACUCCUACGGGAGGCAGCAGUAGGGAAUCUUCCGCAAUGGACGAAAGUCUGACGGAGCAACGCCGCGUGAGUGAUGAAGGUUUUCGGAUCGUAAAGCUCUGUUGUUAGGGAAGAACAAGUGCCGUUCAAAUAGGGCGGCACCUUGACGGUACCUAACCAGAAAGCCACGGCUAACUACGUGCCAGCAGCCGCGGUAAUACGUAGGUGGCAAGCGUUGUCCGGAAUUAUUGGGCGUAAAGGGCUCGCAGGCGGUUUCUUAAGUCUGAUGUGAAAGCCCCCGGCUCAACCGGGGAGGGUCAUUGGAAACUGGGGAACUUGAGUGCAGAAGAGGAGAGUGGAAUUCCACGUGUAGCGGUGAAAUGCGUAGAGAUGUGGAGGAACACCAGUGGCGAAGGCGACUCUCUGGUCUGUAACUGACGCUGAGGAGCGAAAGCGUGGGGAGCGAACAGGAUUAGAUACCCUGGUAGUCCACGCCGUAAACGAUGAGUGCUAAGUGUUAGGGGGUUUCCGCCCCUUAGUGCUGCAGCUAACGCAUUAAGCACUCCGCCUGGGGAGUACGGUCGCAAGACUGAAACUCAAAGGAAUUGACGGGGGCCCGCACAAGCGGUGGAGCAUGUGGUUUAAUUCGAAGCAACGCGAAGAACCUUACCAGGUCUUGACAUCCCUCUGACAUCCUAGAGAUAGGACGUCCCCUUUCGGGGGCAGAGUGACAGUGUGCAUGAUUGUCGUCAGCUCGUGUCGUGAGAUGGUUGGGUUAAGUCCCGCACGAGCGCACCAUUGAUCUUAGUUGCCAGCAUCAGUGGCACUCUAGCUGACUGACUGAUGACAAACCGGGAGAGAAA